rnacentral:rRNA from 1 species
ACUCCUACGGGAGGCAGCAGUGGGGAAUAUUGCACAAUGGGCGCAAGCCUGAUGCAGCCAUGCCGCGUGUAUGAAGAAGGCCUUCGGGUUGUAAAGUACUUUCAGCAGUGAGGAAGGUGGGUAUGUUAAUAGCAUAUUCAUUUGACGUUAGCUGCAGAAGAAGCACCGGACUAACUCCGUGCCAGCCAGCCGGUAAUACGGAGGGUGCGAGCGUUAAUCGGAAUUACUGGGCGUAAAGCGCAUGCAGGUGGUUUGUUAAGUCAGAUGUGAAAGCCCGGGGCUCAACCUCGGAAUUGCAUUUGAAACUGGCAAACUAGAGUACUGUAGAGGGGGUGAGAAUUUCAGGUGUAGCGGUGAAAUGCGUAGAGAUCUGAAGAAUACCGGUGGCGAAGGCGGCCCCCUGGACAGAUACUGACACUCAGAUGCGAAAAGCGUGGGGAGCAAAACAGGAUUAGAUACCCUGGUAGCUACGAGU